AUGCAAGUCGAACGGUAACAGGAAGAAGCUUGCUUCUUUGCUGACGAGUGGCGGACGGGUGAGUAAUGUCUGGGAAACUGCCUGAUGGAGGGGGAUAACUACUGGAAACGGUAGCUAAUACCGCAUAACGUCGCAAGACCAAAGAGGGGGACCUUCGGGCCUCUUGCCAUCGGAUGUGCCCAGAUGGGAUUAGCUUGUUGGUGGGGUAACGGCUCACCAAGGCGACGAUCCCUAGCUGGUCUGAGAGGAUGACCAGCCACACUGGAACUGAGACACGGUCCAGACUCCUACGGGAGGCAGCAGUGGGGAAUAUUGCACAAUGGGCGCAAGCCUGAUGCAGCCAUGCCGCGUGUAUGAAGAAGGCCUUCGGGUUGUAAAGUACUUUCAGCGGGGAGGAAGGGAGUAAAGUUAAUACCUUUGCUCAUUGACGUUACCCGCA
rnacentral:rRNA from 1 species